rnacentral:rRNA from 1 species
UACGUAGGCGGAAAAUUAAGUCAGUAGUGAAAUCCUGCAGCUUAACUGUAGAACUGUUAUUGAUACUGGUUUUCUUGAAUUUAGUUGAGGUAGGCGGAAUGUGUAAUGUAGCGGUGAAAUGCUUAGAUAUUACACAGAACACCGAUUGCGAAGGCAGCUUACUAAACUAUGAUUGACGCUGAGGUACGAAAGCGUGGGGAGCGAACAGGAUUAGAUACCCUGGUAGUCC